CACGUUGUUCAAGGUCCAUACAAACAUUAAGGACCGUUUGAAUACAGUAUUUCUAGAGGAACAUUCAAAAAGUAUAAUUUCUCUUCUCCUGCAGCAUGCAGCAGGUUCUGUUGUGCUCGGGUUAACAUUACUACACUUUGCUGAAGCACAGAGGAACGUUACCAGAGGUGGGAAAAAAACACAGCGCUGAUCAGGGUCGAGGAACUGUGUCAUUUCCCUACAGAGGCCCUGCAACAGGAACUAAAUAAAUACACAAACGCCAAAGAAUUUAUUUGGAGUCAAGAGGAGCCACAAAAUAUGGGCUGUUGGUCAUUUGUAGCACCGAGAUUUGACCAACAGUCAGUUGAGGUCAGUCAGUAGACCAGCACUGCCUGCUCCCGCGGUGGGCAUCGGCACUCUUCACCACCAUCAACAUGAAGCCAUCCUGACUGCUUCCUUCUCCUGAGACCACAGAUCCUACAACCAUAAACGAACAAUCUGUCAAUGAACAAAUUAACAGUCAUUGUAGCUGAUGGGCUAUGACUGGUACACUAAGAGCAAAUGAAAAGCUUUGUCAGUAAUUGUUCAGGCAACAGAGCAAUAUUGCUGAUUUAAUCUUUGAAUGCAUCUCCUUGCACUACCCACAAGGGAACAUCUGUUUACUGAAAUUUUUUUGCACAUGAGUGUGAAUUUGUAGUUCAAAGUUGUAGAACAGGAGGAAAGUAAAAGAUUGUUAAAGCACAGUGUGUAUGGUUUUUCAAAGCGCUUUAACAUUUAUUUUUUACUGUAGGGAGACAAGAAAAGAAAUAAAGAUCACGGUUGCGUGUUUUAAACCCAUGAAAUGGAUGUUGUGAUGUUACAGAACUGGCAUUUUGAAAAGGACACUACAAAUCAAAACUUUGGUGCGUUAAAUGUUUAAAAUGGAUACUUGAGUUGUUGACUUUUACCAGAUGAAUGUAGAAUCAGUAUAGUGAGCUGAUUAUGGCAAUGGAUGUUAUCAAAAACAAUCACUGUAUGUUUACGAAAUGAAACCACAUGACAUUAAACACAAAUUAUUCAAAAAUUGAAUGAAAGCUAAAGACAAGGAAAUCACAAACAACAUAAUUGUUAAUCAGAGUGUUUACACUACUAUGAAUUUUUUUUAUUUUAUUUAUUUAUUUAUUUAUAGUCAUGACGAACCCAUCCAAAUCCCGCAUUUUUAUAAUGUGGAAUUAUAUGCAUUGUCCCAAAAGCGAU